GGUGAUGUAGCUUAGUAGGAAAGCACUUGUCUAGCUUGACAAAACCCUGGGUUCAAUCCCAGUACAAUCA
rnacentral:tRNA from 1 species